GAGAAGCUUCGAUUAAGGUUCGACUCGAGCGGAAGCGAGAGAACGUUGCCAACGGCAACGGCCCGAAGGGCGCGACGCGCCGAGUCAUCCUUCCCCUACCAUAA
rnacentral:sRNA from 1 species